GUCGAGAAUCUUCCGCAAUGAGCGAAAGCUUGACGGAGCGAUGCCGCGUGAGGGAUGAAGGCUUUCGGGUCGUAAACCUCUGUCACCCGGAACGAAGAUCUGACGGUACCGGGAGAGGAAGCCACGGCUAACUACGUGCCAGCAGCCGCGGUAAUACGUAGGUGGCAAGCGUUAUUCGGAUUUAUUGGGCGUAAAGGGUCCGCAGGGGGUUUGUUAAGUUUGAUGUGAAAGCCCGUGGCUCAACCACGGAACUGCAUUGGAAACUGGCAGACUAGAGCAUAGGAGAGGUGAGUAGAAUUCCUGGUGUAGCGGUGGAAUGCGUAGAUAUCAGGAGGAACACCAAUGGCGAAGGCAGCUCACUGGACUAUUGCUGACCCUCAGGGACGAAAGCUAGGGGAGCAAACAGG
rnacentral:rRNA from 1 species